GACGGAGGAUGCAAGCGUUAUCCGGAAUGAUUGGGCGUAAAGCGUCCGCAGGUGGCAGUUCAAGUCUGCUGUCAAAGACCGGGGCUUAACUUCGGAAAGGCAGUGGAAACUGAACAGCUAGAGUAUGGUAGAGGCAGAUGGAAUUCCCGGUGUAGCGGUGGAAUGCGUAGAGAUCGGGAAGAACAUCAGUGGCGAAGGCGGUCUGCUGGGCCGUUGCUGACGCUGAGGCGCGACAGCGUGGGGAGCAAACAGG
rnacentral:rRNA from 1 species